rnacentral:rRNA from 1 species
AGAGUUUGAUCCUGGCUCAGGACGAACGCUGGCGGCGCGCCUAACACAUGCAAGUCGAACGGAGCUUAGAGAGCUUGCUUUUUAAGCUUAGUGGCGAACGGGUGAGUAACGCGUGAGUAACCUGCCCUGGAGUGGGGGACAACAGUUGGAAACGACUGCUAAUACCGCAUAAGCCCACGGUUCCGCAUGGAUCUGCGGGAAAAGGAUUUAUUCGCUUCAGGAUGGACUCGCGUCCAAUUAGCUAGUUGGUGAGGUAACGGCCCACCAAGGCGACGAUUGGUAGCCGGACUGAGAGGUUGAACGGCCACAUUGGGACUGAGACACGGCCCAGACUCCUACGGGAGGCAGCAGUGGGGAAUAUUGCACAAUGGGGGAAACCCUGAUGCAGCGACGCCGCGUGGAGGAAGAAGGUCUUCGGAUUGUAAACUCCUGUUGUUGAGGAAGAUAAUGACGGUACUCAACAAGGAAGUGACGGCUAACUACGUGCCAGCAGCCGCGGUAAAACGUAGGUCACAAGCGUUGUCCGGAAUUACUGGGUGUAAAGGGAGCGCAGGCGGGAAGACAAGUUGGAAGUGAAAUCUAUGGGCUCAACCCAUAAACUGCUUUCAAAACUGUUUUUCUUGAGUAGUGCAGAGGUAGGCGGAAUUCCCGGUGUAGCGGUGGAAUGCGUAGAUAUCGGGAGGAACACCAGUGGCGAAGGCGGCCUACUGGGCACCAACUGACGCUGAGGCUCGAAAGUGUGGGUAGCAAACAGGAUUAGAUACCCUGGUAGUCCACACCGUAAACGAUGAUUACUAGGUGUUGGAGGAUUGACCCCUUCAGUGCCGCAGUUAACACAAUAAGUAAUCCACCUGGGGAGUACGACCGCAAGGUUGAAACUCAAAGGAAU